rnacentral:rRNA from 1 species
AUGGUUGUCGUCAGCUCGUGUCGUGAGAUGUUGGGUUAAGUCCCGCAACGAGCGCAACCCUCGACCUUAGUUGCCAGCAUUCAGUUGGGCACUCUAAGGUGACUGCGGCUAAAAGUCGGAGGAAGUGGGGAUGACGUCAAAUCAUCAUGCCCCUUAUGACCUGGGCUACACACGUGCUACAAUGGGCGGUACAAAGGGUCGCGAACCCGCGAGGGGGAGCCAAUCCCAAAAAGCCGCUCUCAGUUCGGAUUGCAGGCUGCAACUCGCCUGCAUGAAGCCGGAAUCGCUAGUAAUCGCGGAUCAGCAUGCCGCGGUGAAUACGUUCCCGGGCCUU